AUUGAACGCUGGCGGCAGGCCUAACACAUGCAAGUCGAGCGGAUGAGUGGAGCUUGCUCCAUGAUUCAGCGGCGGACGGGUGAGUAAUGUCUAGGAAUCUGCCUAGUGGUGGGGGAUAACGUUCGGAAACGGACGCUAAUACCGCAUACGUCCUACGGGAGAAAGACGGGGGAGUCUUCGGACCUCGCGCCAUUAGAUGAGCCUAGGUCGGGAUUAGCUAGUUGGUUGAGGUAAUGGCUCACCAAGGCGACGAUCCGUAACUGGUCUGAGAGGAUGAUCAGUCACACUGGAACUGAGACACGGUCCAGACUCCUACGGGAGGCAGCAGUGGGGAAUAUUGG
rnacentral:rRNA from 1 species